ensembl:rRNA 5S_rRNA 5S ribosomal RNA
CACCACAGCCAUAUCACCCUGCAGCCCAAGACUAGUUACUCACUCAACCUAAGCAGGGCAUAGACUGGUUAUUACCUGGAUGGGAGAUCACAUGGUAAAAACUAGGUUGCUGUUGUAA